CUUAAAUAUUGAGAUUCUAAAAAAGUUUUUUGUGGUUGUUUUUACAACAAAAUUGAGAAAAAAGUAUAUUGAAAUGAUUAAUGAAAGAAUAUAUUAACUUAGGCAAUAAUUUACAACAAAAGCAUAUUGUCAAAUUGAGAUAAAAGUAUAAACAGAGUGUUUUGGCUUACUGCCAAAUUAAAAAAAAGCUUAUGGAGAGUUUUUUGGCUUACUGCCAAACUUGCAGAUUUUUAUCAUAAGCUAGUUUGCUCUUUUCAAUCAUCUUUUGAUGAACUUUGUUUGAUGUUCCUGACUGAUGAACAAGUUCACUAUUUAAUUAUUGUAUAGAUGUUUGUUCUCUUCAGUUUGCUCUCAUAAUCCGACAAAGUCAACCAAAAUUGUUAAUGCAAGAGUUAACAAUUAUAUUUAAUUCAAUAUAUCUAUGGAGGUUUUUAUUGUAAAAAUGAUUGAUAUUUCUUAGUUGAGUUCAAGAUGAUUGUCCUUGGUAUGGUACUCUAUACCAUGCUCAAUUGAUGGGGAAAGAAUCAAAAGAAUAUUAGCAAGAAAAAUAUUGUCAAUAGGGUUAAAUAGAAGUUUAUGCAUCGAAUGAGGACGACAAAUUUCUCUAGAAUUCAGACAAAAAAAGCAUGCAAAGAAGGAAAAUAGGAAGGAAGUCACCCAAGUUUAAAUGCGAAAGAAAAGGAAAAAUUGAUGAAGAAACAGAGAAUGUCAUUGCUAAACUUCAAGAUUCAAUUCAAAACUCUAGUGAGCCUCCUGACCAAGCCUUUCAAUCAUUGUUCGGUAAAGAAAAAUCCUGUGGAGUUUGUUGUUAUGGAAGAACAACUACACCAACAAUGUUAAAAAAAAAUGAAGAGAUUGCUAACAUUAAGAAACAUUAUAAAGGUAAAAUUAGUAGCAUGACAUAAAGGAUGGAAGAAUAUGAGUCAUUUACAAAUAAAAGGAUGACCACUCAUUUACAAACUGUUGUCUUAAUGAAUAGACUACGACCACUUACACCAUACUUUGUAAAUCAUUGUCAAAUCGUUGCCUAACCUUUAGGUCACCGUUAAUUUGAUUUACGACACACUUUUUUUAUUGUUGUCACAACUCAAAAAUGUUGUAGUGUAAGAUGAUCAAAUCAUAAUUCAAGGUGGCAUGGUCACUCAUUUUGCAUGCACAAUGGAUUAAUUUUUUGAAGACAUUUAGAGGGAAUUUAACAUAUAUAAAUAGAAGUGGUUGCAACACUUCAAGAGGAAGAGCCCAAGAUACAAAACAUAAUUCACUUGUAUUUUUCAUACAAGUCAUCAAAAGCUCUUUUUAUCAAACACACUCCAACUCUCCUAAUUCAAAUUUAUUGAUCACAAUAUUUAAAGUGUGUCGAUAUUUUUAUUUGCUUCUCAAACUAGCCUUUGAUUUUUACAAGCAAAAUCACAAACAUUAUUUCAUUAUUUGUAAAUAUCCUUAAGUAUUUUCUUUGAGAAUGAUUGGGUGGUGUUGUGUAAAGUCUUUUAGACUAAGGUUGUAAGCAUGCUGGAGCUUUGAUAAUACAAUUUUUAAAGAUGAAUGAGUGAUAUAAGAAAAGAAAGGUGUUAA